GGUAAGGUGGCUGAGGGUUGAAGUGUUGGGCUGUAGUCCUUUUUACAGAGGUUUGAUCCCUCUUCUUACUG
rnacentral:tRNA from 1 species